UACGUAGGGGGCAAGCGUUGUCCGGAUUUAUUGGGCGUAAAGAGCGUGUAGGCGGCCAGGUAGGUCUGCUGUGAAAACUCGGAGCUUAACCUCGAGCUGUCGGCGGAAACCAUCUGGCUAGAGUCCGGAAGAGGAGAAUGGAAUUCCCGGUGUAAGCGGUGAAAUGCGCAGAUAUCGGGAAGAACACCCGUGGCGAAGGCGGUUCUCUGGACGGUACUGACGCUGAGACGCGAAAGCGUGGGGAGCGAACAGG
rnacentral:rRNA from 1 species